rnacentral:rRNA from 1 species
UACGGAGGGUGCAAGCGUUAUCCGGAUUCACUGGGUUUAAAGGGUGCGUAGGCGGGCAGGUAAGUCAGUGGUGAAAUCUUCGAGCUUAACUCGGAAACUGCCGUUGAUACUAUCUGUCUUGAAUACCGUGGAGAUGAGCGGAAUAUGUCAUGUAGCGGUGAAAUGCUUAGAUAUGACAUAGAACACCAGUUGCGAAGGCAGCUCGUUACACGAAUAUUGACGCUGAGGCACGAAAGCGUGGGGAUCAAACAGG